AUCCAGUUGACGAGUCCCAAAUAGGACGAGACGCGCAAACUGGAU
rnacentral:hammerhead_ribozyme from 1 species